rnacentral:rRNA from 1 species
AUACGGAGGAUGCGAGCGUUAUCCGGAUUUAUUGGGUUUAAAGGGUGCGUAGGCUGUGCGUUAAGUCAGGGGUGAAAUGCCGUCGCUCAACGACGGAGCUGCCCUUGAUACUGGCGUGCUGGAGUACGGAUGCCGUUGGAGGAAUGAGUGGUGUAGCGGUGAAAUGCUUAGAUAUCACUCAGAACACCGAUUGCGAAGGCAUCGGACGAAUCCGUCACGGACGCGGAGGCACGAAAGCGGGGGGAUAAAACAGGAUUAGAUCCCCUGGUAUUCCACGCCGUAAACGAUGAUGACUAACCGCCGGCGACAGACCGAUCGGUGGCCAAGCGAAAGCGAUAAGUCAUCCACCUGGGGAGUACGACCGCAAGGUUGAAACUCAAAUGAAUUGACGGGG